UACGGGGGGAGCAAGCGUUGUUCGGAUUUACUGGGCGUAAAGGGCGCGUAGGCGGUCACUACAAGUCAGUUGUGAAAUCUCUGGGCUUAACUCAGAACGGUCAACUGAUACUGUCGGACUAGAGUGCAGAAGGGGCAACUGGAAUUCUCGGUGUAGCGGUGAAAUGCGUAGAUAUCGAGAGGAACACCUGCGGCGAAGGCGGGUUGCUGGGCUGACACUGACGCUGAGGCGCGAAAGCUAGGGGAGCAAACAGG
rnacentral:rRNA from 1 species